AUUGAACGCUGGCGGCAGGCCUAACACAUGCAAGUCGAGCGAGCGGCUGACGGGUGAGUAAUGUAUGGGGACUGCCCGAUAGAGGGGGAUCACUACUGGAAACGGUAGCUAAUACCGCAUACUAUCGGAUAACCCAUAUGGGAUUCACUAGUAGGUGAGGUAAUGGCUCACCUAGGCGGCGAUCCCUAGCCGGUCUGAGAGGAUGAUCAGCCACACUGUGACUGAGACACGGCCAAGACUCCUACGGAGGCAGAAGUGGGGAAUAUUGCACAAUGGGCGCAAGCCUGAUGCAGCCAUGCCGCGUGUAGGAAGAAGGCCCGAGAGUUGUAAAGUACUUUCAGUCGGGAGGCGUUACCGACAGAAGAAGCACCGGCUAACUCCGUGCCAGCAGCCGCGGUAAUAC
rnacentral:rRNA from 1 species